UCCCUGAUGGUCCACUGGUUAGGGUUAGGCACUGUCACUGCCAGGCCCCGGGUUCAAUCCCUGGUUGGAGAA
rnacentral:tRNA from 1 species